rnacentral:misc_RNA from 1 species
GAAAUGCGAUAAGUAGUGUGAAUUGCAGAAUUCAGUGAAUCAUCGAAUCUUUGAACGCACAUUGCGCCCCUUGGUAUUCCAUGGGGCAUGCCUGUUCGAGCGUCAUCUACACCCUCAAGCUCUGCUUGGUGUUGGGCGUCUGUCCCGCCCCCGCGCGUGGACUCGCCCCAAAUCCAUUGGCAGCGUUCCUUGCCCCCUCUCGCGCAGCACAUUGCGCUUCUCGAGGGCGGCUCCGGGACGCGAUCCAGCAAGAUGACCACCGUCUUUGACCUCGGAUCAGGUAGGGAUACCCGCUGAACUCAAGC